GUGCUCACUUUGGCAGCCUAAAUACAAAAUUUGAAAUGAAGCAGAGAAGAUUACCAAUGUCCCUGUGCAAGGAUAACUCGCAAAUUUGUGAAGCUUUCCAUAUUUUU